AGCUUUGCACAGUGGCAGUAUCGUAGCCAAUGAGGUUUAUCCGAGGCGCGAUUAUUGCUAAUUGAAAGCCAAAGGGUUAGUCAGGCCUUAGGACUGAUGCAGAAGUGGAGGCACCGAUACGAAGCUACUUUGUGAGUGGGUG